AUUGAACGCUGGCGGUAGGCCUAACACAUGCAAGUCGAUCGGCAGCACAGGAGAGCUUGCUCUCUGGGUGGCGAGUGGCGAACGGGUGAGUAAUACAUCGGAACGUACCCAGUUGUGGGGGAUACUAACCGAAAGGUUAGCUAAUACCGCAUACGACCUGAGGGUGAAAGCGGGGGACCGUAAGGCCUCGCGCAAUUGGAGCGGCCGAUGUCUGAUUAGCUAGUUGGUAGGGUAAAGGCCUACCAAGGCGACGAUCAGGAGCUGGUCUGAGAGGAUGAGCAGCCACACUGGAACUGAGACACGGUCCAGACUCCUACGGGAGGCAGCAGUGGGGAAUUUUGGACAAUGGGCGAAAGCCUGAUCCAGCCCUUCCGCGUGAGUGAAGAAGGCCUUCGGAUUGUAAAGCGCUUUCGGCAGGGAAGAAACGGCCUAGGUUAAUACCUUGGGCUAAUGACGGUACCUGAAGAAGAAGCACCGGCUAACUACGUGCCAGCAGCCGCCGUAA
rnacentral:rRNA from 1 species